GGCGACGUGGCCUAGUGGUUUAAGGCGCUGGAUUUGAAAUCUGGAGGUCACUAGUUCAAAUUCUCCACCCUGCCA
rnacentral:tRNA from 1 species